rnacentral:tRNA from 1 species
UAUGGCAGAUUAGUGCAAUGGAUUUAAGCCCCAUAUAUAAAGUUUAUACUUUUUUUAGAAUA